CGAAGGGGCUAGCGUUGCUCGGAAUUACUGGGCGUAAAGGGCGCGUAGGCGGAUCGUUAAGUCAGAGGUGAAAUCCCGGAGCUCAACUUCGGAAUUGCCUUUGAUACUGGCGAUCUUGAGUGUGAGAGAGGUAUGUGGAACUCCGAGUGUAGAGGUGAAAUUCGUAGAUAUUCGGAAGAACACCAGUGGCGAGGGCGACAUACUGGCUCAUUACUGACGCUGAGGCGCGAAAGCGUGGGGAGCAAACAGGAUU
rnacentral:rRNA from 1 species